rnacentral:rRNA from 1 species
CUUGACUUCCAAAUAAGAGGUCCAGCCUGCCCAGUGAAUUUUUAACGGCCGCGGUAUCCUAACCGCGCGAAGGUAGCAUAAUCACUUGUUCUUUAAAUGGGGACUCGUAUCAACGGCAUCACGAGGGUUCUACUGUCUCCUCUUUUUGAUCAGUGAAAUUGAUCUUCCCGUGAAGAAGCGGGAAUAUUAAUAUAAGACGAGAAGACCCCAUGGAGCUUUAAACCAAAUAGCAACUUAACCAUAUAUUGCCUAAUAACUUUAAGCCCGUGCUACAAGGUUUUUGGUUGGGGUGACCGCGGAGUAAAACACAUCCUCCACGACGGAAAGACUUUAAUCUUUAUUUAAGAACUACAAUUCUAGAAAUUAGUAUACUAACGUUUACUGACCCGACAAUCGAUCAACGGAACA